rnacentral:rRNA from 1 species
AUUGAACGCUGGCGGCGUGCCUAACACAUGCAAGUCGAGCGGUAACAGGUGUAGCAAUACAUGCUGACGAGCGGCGAACGGGUGAGUAAUGCUUCGGAAUCUGCCCAUGUAGUGGGGAUAACCAGCCGAAAGGUUAGGCUAAUACCGCAUACGACCUACGGGUGAAGACAGGGGAGUCGCAAGACCUUGCGCUAUUGGAUGAGCCGAAGUCGGAUAGUCUAGUUGGUAGGGUAACGGCCUACCAAGGCGACGAUCCGUAGCUGGUCGUGAGAGGACGACCAGCCACACUGGGA